UGAGGGAAAGUUGCAAAGUACUCUGAAGAGAGAGUUAACAGUGCGUGAAACCGCUUAGAAGCAAACGGGUGUAGUCAAGCUGCAAGCCUCUAGAAAUAGGUGGAUCAGAAUGGCGUGAGUCUGAGCACGAAGGGCUGGCAGGUGGAUCCGACUUUUGUUGGGUUCGGCUCGCAAGGGUCGAAUUUGCGAAGCGUCAAGGCGCUGCAAGUCUGCUUGUCAGUUGCUCUACUGGUCCUCUUAAUUUCUUUUGGCGUAUGUCACGACCGUCUUUGCUGUCGGUCUGCUCCGUUCAAACCGUUCCGUGAGUAGUUUCUUGCUGCUUGCGUUUCGGGGGCAGGUAGCUGAGCCAGUUUCGGCUGGCUUAGUGUAAUUGCUGAGCGGAGUGGUAUCUGUAACUGUGCAGUAAGAUGGGACUGGCGGUGCAUUGUUGCUGAGCGCGCUAAAGCCUGUCGGCGUGGUUGGUGUAUGGCUACUUGUUGCUGUUAAUAACGGCCUUGUGGUUGCCCGACUGCGGUUUGACUUGCGGCUGCGUUUGGUCAAUCUUUGCGUUGUGCCUACAGUCUGUGGCGUAGUGGUAGACGAUCCACCCGACCCGUCUUGAAACACGGACCAAGGAGUUUAACAUGUACGCGAGUCANUGAGUCAUACGAAACUCAUAGGCGCAGUGAAAGUAAAGGAUGGCUUUUCGCCUAUCUGAGGUGAGAUCCUGCUGUUUCUCUGGUACUGUUGAUCAGACGCUAGAGCAGUGGGCGCAUCACCGGCCCGUCCCAUGGCGUAGUACGGUUUACCGUGCAGCACCGGGGCGGAGCAUGAGCGUGCAUGUUGAGACCCGAAAGAUGGUGAACUAUGCUUGCGCAGGUUGAAGCCGGAGGAAACUCUGGUGGAGGACCGUAGCGAUUCUGACGUGCAAAUCGAUCGUAUGAUGUGAGUAUAGGGGCGAAAGACUAAUCGAACCAUCUAGUAGCUGGUUCCCUCCGAAGUUU
rnacentral:rRNA from 1 species